rnacentral:rRNA from 1 species
UACGUAGGGUGCAAGCGUUGUCCGGAAUUAUUGGGCGUAAAGAGCUUGUAGGCGGUUUGUCGCGUCUGCUGUGAAAUUUCGGGGCUCAACCCCGAACUUGCAGUGGGUACGGGCAGACUAGAGUGUGGUAGGGGAGACUGGAAUUCCUGGUGUAGCGGUGGAAUGCGCAGAUAUCAGGAGGAACACCGGUGGCGAAGGCGGGAUCCUGGGCCAGUACUGACGCUGAGGAGCGAAAGCGUGGGGAGCAAACAGG